rnacentral:tRNA from 1 species
AAAAAUUUAGUUAAUAAUAUAACAUUAGUUUGUCAAACUAAAAUAAUUUUAAUAGAAAUAAUUUUUA